rfam:Lentinula edodes NBRC 111202 DNA, contig: scaffold623.
GGCUACCUGGCGCAAUGGUAGCGCGUUUGGCUUCGAUUGCUGGGCGUACCAAAAGGUUGCAGGUUCGAGUCCUGCGGUGGUCA